GUACUUUGAAUUUAUAAGGGAUAACCACAUCAGGAACUAGGCAGAGCCCAGCAGCAUCAACUGACCCAUAAAAGCUAAAUCCUUCUACAGCCCGUAGCCUCUGCUCUAACAUGCUAAUCUUGAAACUUUCCUCAGCCUCUACUCUCAUCUUUUCCUUCUCUUUCUCUUUUAAAUCAUCUAGAUCAGGAAUUGGUUCUGCUGCCUUUUCA
rnacentral:lncRNA from 1 species